AAUGGCCUAACGGUUGAACCAGCAACUUGGAAGAAUGUUAGCAAUAGCUAAUUGCAUAAUAUUAUGCAAUAUCGAUUAUGUUGAAUAAAGUUCUGAGUAAAUUUAGAUAAUGACUUAAUUUACUCACGUGUCUUGACUAAAUUGCGUGCCAGCAGUCGCGGUAAGACGCAGAAGACUAGUGUUAUUCAUCUUGAGUAGGUUUAAAGGGUACUUAGACGGCAAAUCAAGCUAUGGUAAGGACUAAUUUGCUAGAGUUACUUGCGAAGGGGCUAUAAAGUACUAAAGGAGUAGAGAUAAAAUGUGACGAUACCUUUUAUGGCACUGGUAAAAGCGAAAGCAUCCCUUUAUGUGAUAACUGACGUUAAAGGACGAAGGCUUUGAGUCGCGAAUAGGAUUAGAUACCCUAGUAGUCAAAGGAGAGAAUAAUGAGUGCCAUAGAUUGGAUUAAUUUUAAUCUAUAAAUGAAAGUGUAAGCACUUCACCUUAAGCGUAACGUGGCAACACCGAAAUUGAAAUCAUUAGGCCGUUUUUGAANNNNNNNNNNNNNNNNNNNNNNUAAUUUGAUGAUCCACAAAGAACCUUACCACAACUUGAAUAUUUAUAUUUUAAUAUAUUUACAAGCGUUGCACGGCUGUCUUAAGUUAAUGUCGUGAGAAUUUGGUUAAACCCAUUAAAUUGACGUAAACCCUUAUUUUAUUUUUAUAUAAAAUAGUUAACCGCUAUAUUGGAUAUCUUAAUAGGGAAGAAGACAAGUCAUCAUGACCUGAAUGUUGU
rnacentral:rRNA from 1 species